rnacentral:lncRNA from 1 species
AGGACCGCAGGGGUUUGCUGGCAUACUGAUGUGCCAUCUAACGGCGGUGAAGUGCGGCGCCGUGAACCCAGUCGCUUACCUGACCAAACCACCUUGCAUCCCCGAUCCUUCCCGCUCGCAGAGAGGCUGCCCCUGUUGUGGUGGAGGAGGCCGCCGCCCCCGGCGAGCCCAUGGACAUCAACACGGCCGUGCAGAUGGUCCUGAAGAAGGCCCUGGCCCACGAUGGCCUGUGCCGUGGCCUGCACGAGGCCUGCCGGUGCGUCUGGUCGCUUGGCGCGCUGGGUUUGAACUGAGACACAGCGAGGGGACACCAGCCAGCCAUAAGAUGAGCACCGGCCGCUUUGGUGGAGGGAGACACUGACAAAGCGAUAGGCAGUAGUAUGGCAGCGAGCGGUGACUGGGGUGGGGAUCGAUGGGGCAGGGUGGCGGGUGAUUGUAUGCGCGCGGCAGCCUACGGCAGGCCUGUGAGGACAGGGCCGAGUAGUCCGGCGCGUGUGUUCUGUGGAAGCCCGCCCCCCAUGCUACUGACACGUCACCUGCACGACCCGACGAAUAAUCGACAAAUCACCGACACACGCCACCUCCCCCGCCCCCGCCCCCUUGUCGUCAUGCGCCCGCAGCGCCAUUGAGAAGGGCCAGGCCCAGCUGUGCAUCCUGGCCGAGGACUGCAACCAGCCCGACUACAAGAAGCUGAUUGAGGCCCUGUGCGCCGAGCACAACGUCAACCUGAUCUCCGUGCCGGAGAACAAGCAGCUGGGCCAGUGGUGCGGCGUAAGUAUGGGGCCGCGAGGGGGUGUGGGGAUGUGGGGCAUGGUGCCAAGCUGGGACGAGGCGUUACAUGGGAUGCGGUUGGGGUGGGCUGGGCCGGGCGACCAGUGGGGCCCGGCCUGCAGCGCAGGGCGGAGGCGGAGGCGCCGACAGCAGGGCUUGGCAUCGGCCCGUGGCAAGAUUGAGGCCUGAUCCGCUUCCCUGUCCCCCGUGCUUUUCCCCCACAGCUGUGCAAGAUCGACCCCCAGGGCGAGGCCCGCAAGGUGGUCGGCUGCUCUUGCGCCGUCAUCACCGACUACGGUGAGGAGACCGCCGGCCUGUCCAUGCUGCAGGAGUACCUGAAGAGCCGUUAAGCGGCCCUUCGGCUGCUCCGGAUGGUUUCGAGGAGGGCGGGAGAUUAGUGUCUUCAGUCACC